GACGAACGCUGGCGGCGUGCUUAACACAUGCGAGUCGAACGCUGAAGCCCUGGCUUUUGUUGGGUUGGAUGAGUGGCGAACGGGUGAGUAACACGUGAGUAACCUGCCCUCUUCUUUGGGAUAACGCCCGGAAACGGGUGCUAAUACUGGAUAUUCACUGGCCUUCGCAUGGGGGUUGGUGGAAAGGUUUGUUCUGGUGGGGGAUGGGCUCGCGGCCUAUCAGCUUGUUGGUGGGGUGAUGGCCUACCAAGGCUUUGACGGGUAGCCGGCCUGAGAGGGUGACCGGUCACAUUGGGACUGAGAUACGGCCCAGACUCCUACGGGAGGCAGCAGUGGGGAAUAUUGCACAAUGGGCGAAAGCCUGAUGCAGCGACGCCGCGUGAGGGAUGGAGGCCUUCGGGUUGUAAACCUCUUUCGCUCAUGGUCAAGCCGCAACUGUGGGUUGUGGUGAGGGUAGUGGGUAAAGAAGCGCCGGCUAACUACGUG
rnacentral:rRNA from 1 species